AACUGAUGAAACCAGAAGAUAGUUUAAAACUCCUCAUCAGUAAUUAAAACAAAAACAAUAAUCCAUAAUACUCAUUACAUUGUCAAAAAUCCAAACUUAAUCAAAACAAAGUAAUAGUGGAGCGCCUAAGACAUCGAAUCAAACAGCCUUGAAAGAUAAGCAAGGCAUACCGACUCAAAACUGAAGAAGCAGGAACACUCAACAAGGUUCACCUGCUAUCAGAAACUAAGAACCUGAAAUAAUAUUAAGAAUGAGGGGUGAGUUCAACCAACUCAGUGAGGGAAUAAUAAUUAAUAUACAUUUUAGAUAUUCUUGAUAUUUAUAGUUCGCAAGAUCAUUUAUCUUGAUAUACAUAUACAUAUACAUACUAAACUUAUCAUAUACAUAUCAUAUACAUACUAAACGUAUCAUCAUAACGUAGUGGACUAUAUGUCAGAGAUCAGAUGACACCCGAAGGUGACCAGACCAGAUGACACCCGAAGGUGACCACUGUGGGAUGAUCAGUCGCCACAGGCUGAUGCCUCUCUCACCAGCUAGGUAUACAUACAGAAUACUAUGUGCACAUAGGCUAACUACUCUCCGUUAGCAUGGAGUUACUGACAAGUCCCAUAUCAAGGCAUAAUAGAUAUUCACAUAAUCAUCAAAGAAACGUAUAUCAUAUCAAAUAGAAUUUACUUUGACAGAUUGCGAGUGCAAAUUCAAGAAUAAAUGAGUACUCGGAAAAUAAGCAACAUAUAUAAUUAUUCAAGAAAUUAACGAGUUGUACUCAUUGUAUAAUCAACAUACAUAUUUACUUAUCAUAUAUGCAUAUUAAAGAUUAUUCCACUCACCCGGAAAAUAUAGAACUAAAGGAAUGUCAGACGAAAGACCCGAAAAUCCUAUUGAGGAUUGUUAGGAGAACCUACAACAAUAUGAAAAUAUACUCAAAAGCAACUCAACAAGAGAUCCCAAUGCAUAAAAUAAAACCAGGUUUAUUCUCCUAAGUUUAUGGACUAAAACGACAAUUUUCCAAAACAGGGACCAAAACGUAAUUUUACCAAAAUUGGACCAAUCUGGAAAAUACAUAACCAUACUGAAUUUUCACCCAUAAACCAUCCUUAAUUCUGUCUAGAACGAACCAGGGACCGAUCUGAAAUUUUCAUAAAAUUCAGGGACUAAAAUGUAAAUUCCCGAAAUUGAGGGACCAAACUGAAAAUAUUCAAAAUCAAUUAUCAAACUGCGAUUCAUCAUCCUUAACCUCAUAAUAACACUGUCCAGAAUCUCAAAUACAAUUAGGGGUCAAAUUAUAAUUUUCCCAAAGUUUAGGGACUAAACUGAAAUUUCACAAAUUGAGGGACCAAAUUGAAUUUUCGUUAUCUUCAACCUCAAACCCAGAAUUUUACAGAUUACCUACUGUCAUCUCCUGAUUUCUAACACAAUUUCAAAAAUCAUAACUCAAAAUCAUCAUCUUUACCCUCAAUCUCUCACAAUCAACUAAUUAACCAAUUACCCACAACAAUCAACCCAUAACCUUCCAAUUAAUUCAUCAAUCAAACUCAAAACACAAUAUUCAAAACCCUAACAUUUAUCAAAACAGAAAUUAAGGCUUAAAGAACACACAUUUAUACAUAAUCUUACCUUUAAACUUAUUUCCUCCAACUCCUUUCCUUUUUCCCUUAUUUUCCCCUCUUUUCUCUUCUUCUUCUUUCUCCCUUCUCUCUCACGGUUUGCUCUCUCAAAUAUUCAGAUAUCUUUUUUUUUUUUUUCUCUUUAUACUUAUCAUCUCUUUAUACAAUUACUCCAAUACCCUUCAUUUAAUUAUACCAAUUUUUAGCCUUCAAGGGCUUUAUUGCCUUUUACCUACUCAUUAAAUUUCAAAACAUCACAAUCUCCCCACCUUAUAAAAGUUUCGUCCUCGAAACUUAAACUUUAAGAAAAAGUCUUACCAUCAAGUUCAAACAAGAAUGGAUACUUGUUGAGCAUUUCCUCCUCAAGCUCCCAGGUCGCUUCUUCACGUGGGUGUCCGCUCCACACAACCUUAACUGAUGUGAUAUCUUUCGACCGAAGUUUUCUAACUUGUCGAUCCACUAUUUUUAUUGGUUGAACUUCAUAUGUCAUAUCUUUCCUCAGCUCAAUCGGUUGAACUUCUAGCACAUGAGAUGGAUCAGACAAAUACUUCCUCAACAUCGAAACAUGGAACACCGGAUGUAUAGAGGAGAGAUUAGGUGGCAAGGCAAGCCGAUAUGCCACUACCCCUACUCUUUCCAAGAUCUCAAAGGGCCCUAUAAACUUAGGACUCAACUUUCCUUUCUUCCCAAACCUGAAUAUCCCUUUAGUCGGGGAGACUUUUAGGAACACGUUGUCACCCACUGAAAAUUCUAGAUUACGCCUUCUCUUAUCUGCAUAAUUCUUUUGCCUACUCUGAGCUGUUAGAAGCUUAUCUCGGAUCACCUUAAUCUUAUCCGAAGUAAUCUGUAUUAACUCGGGACCCAUUAAUCUCCUCUCACCAACCUCAUACCAACAUACAGGUGAUCUACACUUCCGGCCAUACAAGGCCUCAUAUGGGGCCAUAUCAAUGCUCGCUUGAUAACUAUUAUUAUAUGCAAACUCCACCAAAGAUAAGUACUUGCUCCAUCCGACACCAAAGUCAAUCACACAAGCUCUUAACAUAUCCUCCAAAAUUUGUAUAGUCCUCUCAGAUUGUCCAUCUGUCUGAGGAUGAAAGGCAAUACUUAACUGAAUGUUAGUCCCCAAAGCUUCCUGAAACUUCACCCAAAACCGAGAAGUGAAUUGUGGACCUCUGUCGGACACAAUUGAGAUCGGUACACCAUGCAACCUUACGAUCUCGUUAACAUAGAUUUCUGCCAGUUUUGCAAACCCAUAUGUCACCUUUACUGGCAAGAAAUGAGCUGACUUGGUUAAACGAUCAACUAUUACCCAAACCAAAUCAUAACCCUCUUGACUCCGAGGCAAACCUGACACAAAAUCCAUAGUGAUCCUCUCCCAUUUCCAUUCAGGAAUUAACAAUGGCUGCAAAAGCCCUGGUGGUUUCUGAUGCUCACCUUUAACCUUCUGACAGGUCAAGCAUCGAGAUACAAAUUCAGCAAUGUCCCUCUUCAUACCAUUCCACCAAUAACACUCUUUCAAGUCUCUAUACAUCUUGUUAGAACCAGGAUGUAUAGUAUAGGCAGUUUGAUGUGCUUCCGUCAUCACAUCUCUUUUCAAAUCAUCCACCUCAGACACACAUAACCUGGAACCAAAUCUCAACACACCAUCUUCAUGGAUAACAAAACCCGGAGCUCUCCCUAACUCCAACUCAUCUCGAAUCUUGCAAAGUCGCUCAUCCUUCAUUUGAGCUCCUUUAAUCCGGUCUACCAAGUCUGACUUAGCCUGGAAGUGAGCCAACAAUGCUCCCGAUUCACAAAUCUCAAAACUGACCCUCUCAUCCAACAAUCCGUGUAACUCUUUAAUCAAGGGUCUCCUCACCUCCUGAAUAUGAGCCAAACUACCCAUAGAUUUUCUGCUUAAGGCAUCGGCAACAACAUUUGCCUUGCCCGGGUGAUACUGAAUCGUGCAAUCAUAAUCACUUAAUAGUUCCAUCCACAUUCUUUGUCUCAAAUUCAGAUCCUUCUGCUGGAAGAUAUAUUGAAGACUCUUAUGAUCUGAAAAUAUCUCACAUGUCUCCCCAUACAAGUAGUGUCUCCAAAUCUUAAGGGCAAACACUACCGCAGCCAUCUCCAAAUCAUGUGUGGGGUAAUUUUGCUCGUGCUUCUUCAACUUUCUCGAGGCAUAAGCAAUCACAUUACCAUUCUGCAUCAAAACACAACCCAAACCAAUCCUGGAUGCAUCACAGUACACGGUAAAACCACCAGACCCUGAAGGUACUGUCAAAAUUGGAGCCGUAAUUAACCUUUCCUUCAACUCCAGGAAACUCUUCUCACAUUCUUCUGACCAUUGAAACUUGACACUUUUCUGUGUCAACUUCGUCAAUGGAGCAGCGAUUCGGGAAAAAUUCUCCAUGAAUCUCCUGUAGUAUCUUGCUAAACCCAGGAAACUCCUAAUCUCAGAUACUGUAACUGGUCUAGGCCACUGCUUAACUGCCUCCACUUUCUGUGGAUCAACCUCUAUCCCAUUUUUGGACACCACAUGUCCCAAAAACCCAACACUCUCUAACCAAAACUCACUCUUCGAGAACUUUCCAUACAACUGAUGAUCUCUUAGAGUUUGAAGCACCAAUCUCAAAUGCUCUUCAUGUUCCUCUUUACUUCUCGAAUACACCAAGAUGUCAUCAAUGAACACAAUAACAAACUUAUCAAUAAACGGCCUAAAAACCAUGUUCAUCAUGUCCAUAAAAGCUGCAGGUGCAUUCGUUAACCCAAAAGACAACACUAGGAACUUGUAAUGCCCAUAACGAGUCCUAAAGGCAGUUUUAGGAAUAUCCUCAUUUCUAAUCCUCAACUGGUGAUACCCCGAUCGCAAAUCAAUCUUUGAGAAACAUUGAGCUCCUUGUAAUUGAUCAAAAAGAUCAUCAAUGCGAGGAAGUGGGUAUCUAUUCUUAACAGUGACCUUGUUCAACUGUCUAUAGUCUAUACACAUCCUCAUUGAUCCAUCCUUCUUCUUUACAAAUAAAACAGGUGCUCCCCACGGAGACACACUUGGACGAAUAAACCCCUUAUCUAACAAAUCUUGAAUCUGCUCCUUCAACUCUUUUAAUUCUGCUGGCGCCAUCCUGUACGGUGCCAUAGAGAUUGGUUUUGUUCCUGAAACUAGAUCAAUACAGAAUUCGAUUUCCCUAUUGGGAGGUAGUCCAGGUAAGUCAUCGGGAAAAACAUCGAUGAAUUCCUUAACUAUCGAAACUUGUUCCAUCCUCGGGACCUCCAUGUUCAUAUCAUGCACAUAAGCCAAAAACCCUUGCAUACCUUUUCGUACCAUCCUUCUCGUGAUGGCCGAGAGAAUACUAGAUGGAGAUGAUAACCCAUCUCCAUGAAAAGCAAACUCCGUCUUCUCAUCAGGCUUGAAAAUCACUGUCUUAUUCCAACAAUCAACUGAGGCAUGGUGCCUUGAUAACCAAUCCAUACCUAGUAUCACAUCAAAACCUACUAUGUCUAAAAUUACCAAAUCGCCUAAUAGGUUUCUACCUUGCACUUGAAUCUCACAAUCAACAUAAACAUAUUCCCCAAACAUAACCUCAUCCGAAGGGAUAGCUACACACAAAGGACUCUCUAACAAAAUGGAUUGUUUAGUAAACCUUAAAGCAAAAUAUGACGACACGAAAGAAUGAGUUGCCCCCGUGUCAAAUAACACUCUAGCCUCGAAGGAACAUAACAUAACUAUAAAGGAGUUUUAAGGAGGACACACCAAACCCUAGAUUGGAGAAUUGUAAGAGGAACGACAUCAAGACAAGAUAGAUCCUAAGCUCCACAUAUUACGAGGGUUUUGAAAAAUAAAAAAAAUGACUAAAAUAGAUUACGAGGUUUUAAUAAAAACCGGGCUCUGAUACCACCUUUGUCACGACCCGAAUCCCGGGUCCAUGACCGGCAACGCAGGAGCGGUGGCGGAAGGACACCCCUCCCGCGCUAAGCCUCAUAACGGACAUAUCAAAAGAAUAAUUUAUUCAAAAAUACGCAGCAUUUCAUAAUCUUCAGAAAUAUUAUAUCCUUCAAAACUGAUGAAACCAGAAGAUAGUUUAAAACUCCUCAUCAGUAAUUAAAACAAAAACAAUAAUCCAUAAUACUCAUUACAUUGUCAAAAAUCCAAACUUAAUCAAAACAAAGUAAUAGUGGAGCGCCUAAGACAUCGAAUCAAACAGCCUUGAAAGAUAAGCAAGGCAUACCGACUCAAAACUGAAGAAGCAGGAACACUCAACAAGGUUCACCUGCUAUCAGAAACUAAGAAC
rnacentral:lncRNA from 1 species